CUAAGCUGCGCAGGAGACACGACAACAGGUUUGAACACAGAGUCAACAGGUAUGGGGCUUAUGCUUCAUGAGGCUACAGUCACACACACACAGGCAAACACACACACACGCACAAAUAUAGACACACACACACACACACACUAUGGCUCCAGUUGAGGAGGGAGAGGCCAGGCACCGAGCUGAUGUCUCCAGACAGGUUGGAGCGCUUUUGUAUGGAGAUAAAUAACAUUUUUUUUUUUCUCUCAUUCAGGCCUGAUAUCCUGCAUCCACCCACACAGCCUGACACAAACUGUACGCUCAGUGACAGGAAGAUGUAUUCUUUUCAUUAAUUCAAAGUUAUCUUCUCAUUUUUCAUGCCAGAGAAGGAGAUUUACCAUUUCAGCAUUAAUCAUCUGUGGACGAGGCUUUGAGAUCCUGAGCAACUUUAAUUCUGCGUUGGUUUUGAACGACACUGGGCCGACUAUCUUCAAAGCGGAAUCACCGUCUAAUGUAUUCUUGAGCUCUUUUCAGAACACAAACACAGAUCCACGCUCCUGAUGAAGUGAUCUGUAAGACCUGUGGCGCUCUGAUUGUGUACAUUUACUUCCUGGUGUGAUAAAUGGGUCCCAUAAUGUUCUCUUCAUUUUUGGAAGUUACUGGACCAGGACAGCUGUCUUAUCUCAUCGGCUUGGCUCACCGGUGCACUUCCUCUGGGAGAGAGAUCCACUGGAACGCGUCGAAAGUGUGUGAAACGGCGGUUUUAACAGGACUGAACGGAGAAGAGCGGCGGGAGAGAGAGAAGAGGACGGAGGAAGCGGACGGACAGAUAUGAGAGGGGUCAUGGAUGAAUUAUGAAGAUGAAGAAGAUAAUGACAUCAUGAAGAUGGAGAGAGUCGUUCAGAUGACACAGAUGUGUUUUUAUGUUCUGUGUACAGUACUCAUGGCAACACGGCAACAUGUACUAAACACGUACUAAAUACUAAAUGAAUGUGAAGCCAAUAAAGCAUUAAUUUCAUUGUAAAUAGCACGACUCUAUAGUUAAUUACCUGGGCUAAAGCACAUUGAUACUGCAUCACCCGUUAGGGGAAUACAGCCGUAAUCUCGCAUGUUGUGACCCUUAAUGAAGUGAGUCACAUAAACGCAUCUCACGCACACACACAGUCAUUUACACACUGUCUUCAUACGAAUUAUUCUCUUUUGUAUACAUUUAUUUCUCUUCUAUUUCAUUUCUCAUUUUAAAUCAUGUUUCUCAAUAUUUAUUUAAUGCAGUCGCACAUAAUUUCCCAUCAUUAUAAAUAUGAUAUGGUGCCUUGAAUGAAAAGUAAUGCAAGCAGUCUCUCAAACGGUGCUGCCC